rnacentral:rRNA from 1 species
AUUGAACGCUGGCGGCAUGCUCUACACAUGCAAGUCGAACGGUAACAGGCCGCAAGGUGCUGACGAGUGGCGAACGGGUGCGUAAUGCAUCGGAACGUGCCCAGUCGUGGGGGAUAACUACUCGAAAGAGUAGCUAAUACCGCAUACGAUCUAUGGAUGACAGCGGGGGACCGUAAGGCCUCGCGCGAUUGGAGCGGCCGAUGUCAGAUUAGGUAGUUGGUGGGGUAAAGGCUCACCAAGCCAACGAUCUGUAGCUGGUCUGAGAGGACGACCAGCCACACUGGGACUGAGACACGGCCCAGACUCCUACGGGAGGCAGCAGUGGGGAAUUUUGGACAAUGGGCGCAAUCCUGAUCCAGCAAUGCCGCGUGCAGGAAGAAGGCCUUCGGGUUGUAAACUGCUUUUGUACGGAACGAAACGGCUCUGGUUAAUACCCGGGGCUAAUGACGGUACCGUAAGAAUAAGCACCGGCUAACUACGUG